rnacentral:rRNA from 17 species
GAAGUUUUCAGAGAUGAGAAUGUGCCUUCGGGAACCGUGAGACAGGUGCUGCAUGGCUGUCGUCAGCUCGUGUUGUGAAAUGUUGGGUUAAGUCCCGCAACGAGCGCAACCCUUAUCCUUUGUUGCCAGCGAUUAGGUCGGGAACUCAAAGGAGACUGCCAGUGAUAAACUGGAGGAAGGUGGGGAUGACGUCAAGUCAUCAUGGCCCUUACGACCAGGGCUACACACGUGCUACAAUGGCGCAUACAAAGAGAAGCGACCUCGCGAGAGCAAGCGGACCUCAUAAAGUGCGUCGUAGUCCGGAUUGGAGUCUGCAACUCGACUCCAUGAAGUCGGAAUCGCUAGUAAUCGUGGAUCAGAAUGCCACGGUGAAUACGUUCCCGGGCCUUGUACACACCGCCCGUCACACCAUGGGAGUGGGUUGCAAAAGAAGUAGGUAGCUUAACCUUCGGGAGGGCGCUUACCACUUUGUGAUUCAUGACUGGGGUGAAGUCGUAACAAGGUAACCGUAGGGGAACCUGC